rnacentral:rRNA from 1 species
CAAUAGCGUAUAUUUAAGUUGUUGCAGUUAAAAAGCUCGUAGUUGGAUUUCGGUUAAGAGCGACCGGUCCGCCGUUUGGUGUGCACUGGUUGGUUUUAACUUCCUGUAGAGGACGUGCUCUGGGUUUAACGACCUGGACUCGGAGUCUACGUGGUUACUUUGAAAAAAUUAGAGUGUUCAAAGCGGGCUUACGCUUGAAUAUUUCAGCAUGGAAUAACACUAUAGGACUUCUGUCCUAUUUCGUUGGUCUCGGGACGGGAGUAAUGAUUAAGAGGAACAGUUGGGGGCAUUCGUAUUUCAUUGUCAGAGGUGAAAUUCUUGGAUUUAUGAAAGACGAACUUCUGCGAAAGCAUUUGCCAAGGAUGUUUUCAUUAA